rnacentral:rRNA from 1 species
GAGGCCAGCAGUGAGGAAUAUUGGGCAAUGGAGGCAACUCUGACCCAGCCAUGCCGCGUGCAGGAAGACUGCCCUAUGGGUUGUAAACUGCUUUUAUACAGGAAGAAACACACCUACGUGUAGGUGCUUGACGGUACUGUAAGAAUAAGCACCGGCUAACUCCGUGCCA